rnacentral:rRNA from 1 species
UGUGGUAUCGAUAGCAAGAAGGAUACACCUGUUCCCAUGCCGAACACAGAAGUUAAGUUUCUUUGCGCCGAUAGUAGUUGAGGGGUUCCCUCUGCAAGGAUAGGGCGUUGCCACGC